rnacentral:rRNA from 1 species
CGGAAUUAUUGGGCGGAAAGUGUGCGCAGGCGGCAGAGCAAGUCGAGUGUGAAAGCCCCGGGCUUAACUUGGGAAUUGCGCUCGAAACUACUUUGCUGGAGUGUGGCAGAGGAAGGUGGAAUUCCACGUGUAGCGGUGAAAUGCGUAGAUAUCGUGAGGAAUACCAGAGGCGAAGGCGGCUACCUGGACAAUUGCUGACGCUCAGGCACGAAAGCGUGGGGAGCAAAAGGG